rnacentral:misc_RNA from 1 species
UUUCCGUAGGUGAACCUGCGGAAGGAUCAUUACUGAGUGAGGGCCCCUCGGGGUCCAACCUCCCACCCGUGUUUAACGAACCUUGUUGCUUCGGCGGGCCCGCCUCACGGCCGCCGGGGGGCAUCGGCCCCCGGGCCCGCGCCCGCCGAAGCCACCUGUGAACGCUGUCUGAAGUAUGCAGUCUGAGACAAUUAUUAGAUUAAUUAAAACUUUCAACAACGGAUCUCUUGGUUCCG